CUGACCUGCCCAGUGAUUAAUUUAACGGCCGCGGUAUAUUGACCGUGCAAAGGUAGCAUAAUCAUUAGUCUUUUAAUAGAGGGCUGGAAUGAAAGGUUUAACGAGGAACUGACUGUCUCAUUUUAUUUGUUUUAAAAUUUAAUUUUUUAGUUAAAAAGCUAAAAUUUCAUUGGAAGACGAGAAGACCCUAUAGAUCUUUAUAAAAAUUUAUGUAAUUAUUAUUAUAUUAAUAUAAUUAUUUAUUUUUCUAUUCUGUUGGGGUGACAAAAAUAUAAAUAUAACUUUUUCAUUUAUUUUACAUUGAUUUAUGAACAUUAGAUCCAUUAUUAUUGAUUAUUAGAUUAAGUUACCUUAGGGAUAACAGCGUAAUCCUCCUCCAGAGUUCAUAUUUACAGGAUGGGCUUGCGACCUCGAUGUUGGAUUAAGAUAAUAAUUAGGUGUAGCUGCUUAAUUUAUAGGUCUGUUCGACCUUUAA
rnacentral:rRNA from 1 species